rnacentral:ncRNA from 1 species
UAGCCCAUCAGGGCCAUGGAUACCUGCUUUC